rnacentral:rRNA from 1 species
CUUGAGUUUGAUCAUGGCUCAGGACGAACGCUGGCGGCGUGCUUAACACAUGCAAGUCGAACGGAAAGGCCCUGCUUUUGUGGGGUGCUCGAGUGGCGAACGGGUGAGUAACACGUGAGUAACCUGCCCUUGACUUUGGGAUAACUUCAGGAAACUGGGGCUAAUACCGGAUAGGAGCUCCUGCUGCAUGGUGGGGGUUGGAAAGUUUCGGCGGUUGGGGAUGGACUCGCGGCUUAUCAGCUUGUUGGUGGGGUAGUGGCUUACCAAGGCUUUGACGGGUAGCCGGCCUGAGAGGGUGACCGGCCACAUUGGGACUGAGAUACGGCCCAGACUCCUACGGGAGGCAGCAGUGGGGAAUAUUGCACAAUGGGCGGAAGCCUGAUGCAGCAACGCCGCGUGCGGGAUGACGGCCUUCGGGUUGUAAACCGCUUUCGCCUGUGACGAAGCGUGAGUGACGGUAAUGGGUAAAGAAGCACCGGCUAACUACGUGCCAGCAGCCGCGGUGAUACGUAGGGUGCGAGCGUUGUCCGGAUUUAUUGGGCGUAAAGGGCUCGUAGGUGGUUGAUCGCGUCGGAAGUGUAAUCUUGGGGCUUAACCCUGAGCGUGCUUUCGAUACGGGUUGACUUGAGGAAGGUAGGGGAGAAUGGAAUUCCUGGUGGAGCGGUGGAAUGCGCAGAUAUCAGGAGGAACACCAGUGGCGAAGGCGGUUCUCUGGGCCUUUCCUGACGCUGAGGAGCGAAAGCGUGGGGAGCGAACAGGCUUAGAUACCCUGGUAGUCCACGCUGUAAACGGUGGGUACUAGGUGUGGGGUCCAUUCCACGGGUUCCGUGCCGUAGCUAACGCUUUAAGUACCCCGCCUGGGGAGUACGGCCGCAAGGCUAAAACUCAAAGGAAUUGACGGGGCCCCGCACAAGCGGCGGAGCAUGUGGUUUAAUUCGACGCAACGCGAAGAACCUUACCUAGACUUGACAUCUUCUGCAUUACCCUUAAUCGGGGAAGUUCCUUCGGGGACAGAAUGACAGGUGGUGCAUGGUUGUCGUCAGCUCGUGUCGUGAGAUGUUGGGUUAAGUCCCGCAACGAGCGCAACCCUUAUUGUUAGUUGCUACCAUUUAGUUGAGCACUCUAGCGAGACUGCCCGGGUUAACCGGGAGGAAGGUGGGGAUGACGUCAAAUCAUCAUGCCCCUUAUGUCUAGGGCUACACACGUGCUACAAUGGCCGGUACAGAAAGACGCGAUACCGCGAGGUGGAGCAAAACUUUAAAACCGGUCUCAGUUCGGAUUGUAGGCUGAAACUCGCCUACAUGAAGCUGGAGUUACUAGUAAUCGCGAAUCAGCAUGUCGCGGUGAAUACGUUCCCGGGCCUUGUACACACCGCCCGUCACACCAUGAGAGUUGGCAAUACCCAAAGUUCGUGAGCUAACCGCAAGGAGGCAGCGACCUAAGGUAGGGUCAGCGAUGGG